CAAAAGCUGAAGUCAAGUUGUACUGAUACGCAUCUGGUACUUAAAUAAGUGCUGAACUUUUUAUGACAGCAACACGUAGACACAGAUUCCUUUGAAUAGAAGGAUAUGACAGGUGAUAUCGGACUCCAGGGAAGUCCCAGCUGUGCCAUUGUACCCUUCAUGAGUAAGCAGUGCUGGGGCUGUGCAACUAUCAUCCCUCACCCUUUUGGGGGGCGGCAGAAGAGUCUGUGCUGGAUGUCAGGGAAGUGCAGGAGGUCACAGUGACUACAUCUGAAUCCCACAAAGCACAGGGGAAAAG
rnacentral:lncRNA from 1 species